rnacentral:rRNA from 1 species
UAGAAGUCGUAACAAGGUCUCCGUUGGUGAACCAGCGGAGGGAUCAUUACCGAGUUUACAACUCCCAAACCCAAUGUGAACGUUACCAAACUGUUGCCUCGGCGGGAUCUCUGCCCCGGGUGCGUCGCAGCCCCGGACCAAGGCGCCCGCCGGAGGACCAACCAAAACUCUUAUUGUAUACCCCCUCGCGGGUUUUUUUUAUAAUCUGAGCCUUCUCGGCGCCUCUCGUAGGCGUUUCGAAAAUGAAUCAAAACUUUCAACAACGGAUCUCUUGGUUCUGGCAUCGAUGAAGAACGCAGCGAAAUGCGAUAAGUAAUGUGAAUUGCAGAAUUCAGUGAAUCAUCGAAUCUUUGAACGCACAUUGCGCCCGCCAGUAUUCUGGCGGGCAUGCCUGUCCGAGCGUCAUUUCAACCCUCGAACCCCUCCGGGGGGUCGGCGUUGGGGAUCGGCCCUGCCUUGGCGGUGGCCGUCUCCGAAAUACAGUGGCGGUCUCGCCGCAGCCUCUCCUGCGCAGUAGUUUGCACACUCGCAUCGGGAGCGCGGCGCGUCCACAGCCGUUAAACACCCAACUUCUGUAAUGUUGACCUCGGAUGAGGUAGGAAUACCCGCUGUACUUAAGCC